rnacentral:tRNA from 1 species
GGCUCAGUUGGUAGAGCAUGGUGUUUGCAACGCCAGGGUUGUGGGUUCGAUUCCCAA